AAUAGAUACCCAGGUAGUCCACGCCGUAAACGAUGAGUGCUAAGUGUUAGAGGGCUUCCGCCCUUUAGUGCUGCAGCAAACGCAUUAAGCACUCCGCCUGGGGAGUACGGCCGCAAGGCUGAAACUCAAAGGAAUUGACGGGGGCCCGCACAAGCGGUGGAGCAUGUGGUUUAAUUCGAAGCAACGCGAAGAACCUUACCAGGUCUUGACAUCUCCUGACAACCCUAGAGAUAGGGCGUUCCCCUUCGGGGGACAGGAUGACAGGUGGUGCAUGGUUGUCGUCAGCUCGUGUCGUGAGAUGUUGGGUUAAGUCCCGCAACGAGCGCAACCCUUGAUCUUAGUUGCCAGCAUUCAGUUGGGCACUCUAAGGUGACUGCCGGUGACAAACCGGAGGAAGGUGGGGAUGACGUCAAAUCAUCAUGCCCCUUAUGACCUGGGCUACACACGUGCUACAAUGGAUGGUACAAAGGGCUGCAAGACCGCGAGGUUAAGCGAAUCCCAAUAAAACCAUUCUCAGUUCGGAUUGC
rnacentral:rRNA from 1 species